UAUAAAUGUAAGUAUCAGUUUCUACGUCUAAUCAUCCGUCUUAUUUAAAUUUUUUUUAUAAUUAGUAUAUUUUAUUAUUAUAAGAUGAUAAAACAUGAAUAGUAUUUUACUCGUGACUUAUGUUUUAAUUUUUUUAAAAAAAAAAUUAAAUAAGACAAACUAUUAAAAUUGGGCGUGGAAAACUACGACUAUAUUUAAA
rnacentral:pre_miRNA from 1 species